rnacentral:rRNA from 1 species
CCUACGGGAGGCAGCAGUGGGGAAUAUCGCACAAUGGGCGAAAGCCUGAUGCAGCAACGCCGCGUGAGCGAUGAAGGCCUUCGGGUCGUAAAGCUCUGUCCUCAAGGAAGAUAAUGACGGUACUUGAGGAGGAAGCCCCGGCUAACUACGUGCCAGCGGCCGCGGUAAUACGUAGGGGGCUAGCGUUAUCCGGAAUUACUGGGCGUAAGGGGUGCGUAGGUGGUUUUUUAAGUCAGAGGUAAAAGGCUACGGAUAAACCGUAGAAAGCAUUUGAAACUGGUGAAAUUGAGUGCAGGAGUGGAGAGUGGAAUUCCUAGUGUAGCGGUGAAAUGCGUAGAUAUUAGGAGGAACACCAGUUGCGAAGGCGGCUCUCUGGACUGUAACUGACACUGAGGCACGAAAGCGUGGGGAGCAAACAGGAUUAGAUACCCGAGUAGUC